UACGAUUGCCCCAAGCGUUAUCCGGAAUCAUUGGGCGUAAAGGGUGUGUAGGUGGUUUUGUUAGUCUUCUGUUAAAAUCUUGGGCUCAACCCAAGGCCUGCAGGGGAAACGGCAAUACUCGAGGGUGCGAGAGGUGAAUGGAACUCAUGGAGUAGGGGUGAAAUCCGUUGAUAUCAUGGGGAACACCGAAAGCGAAGGCAAUUCACUGGCGCAUUCCUGACACUGAAACACGAAAGCGUGGGUAGAGAACGGG
rnacentral:rRNA from 1 species